GGCAACACUGUGUUUGGUAUGUUUGUGUCCAGGGUUAAAAGUUUUAACCCUGGACACAAACAUACCAAACACAGUGUUGCC
rfam:Botryobasidium botryosum FD-172 SS1 unplaced genomic scaffold BOTBOscaffold_24, whole genome shotgun sequence.